AAGAAACUGACUUCAGUUGAGAAUAACUGGGAAGCUGAAUAUGACUAGAAUGGAAAUGCUAUUAUUUCCAUAUGCCAGAGAAUAUUAUUCAAUUAACAUAAAAAUAACAAGGAGAUAACAAUAUGCCUUCUUGAAAUUGUCUUGGGUAUUCUGGGUCACUGACAAUUCCAUAUGGAUUUCAGAAUCAGUCUUGUCAAUUUCUACAAGGAAGUCAGCCAAAUUCUAAUACAGAUUGCAUUGCAUCUAUAGAUCAGUUUGGAAAUUAUUGCCAUCAAAAUUUUAAAACUUUCAACCCAUGAACAUAAGAUUCUUUUGAAAAGCUAUAGUGCAGUAAUAUCAUCAUGGCUCACUGCAAUCUCGACUUCUCCAGCUCAAACAAUCCUCCUACCUCAGACUCCCAAGCAGUUGGGACUACAGGCACGUGUCAUUACACCCAG
rnacentral:lncRNA from 1 species